rnacentral:rRNA from 1 species
AUUGAACGCUGGCGGCAGGCCUAACACAUGCAAGUCGAGCGGUAGCACAGGAGAGCUUGCUCUCUGGGUGACGAGCGGCGGACGGGUGAGUAAUGUCUGGGAAACUGCCUGAUGGAGGGGGAUAACUACCGGAAACGACUGCUAAUACCGUAUACACCCUACGGGGGAAAGAUUUAUCGGAUUUGGAUGAGCCCGCGUAAGAUUAGCUAGUUGGUGAGGUAAUGGCUCACCAAGGCGACGAUCCGUAACUGGUCUGAGAGGAUGAUCAGUCACACUGGAACUGAGACACGGUCCAGACUCCUACGGGAGGCAGCAGUGGGGAAUAUUGGACAAUGGGCGAAAGCCUGAUCCAGCCAUGCCGCGUGUGUGAAGAAGGUCUUCGGAUUGUAAAGCACUUUAAGUUGGGAGGAAGGGCAGUAAGUUAAUACCCUGCUGUUUUGACGUUACCGACAGAAUAAGCACCGGCUAACUUCGUGCCAGCCGCCGCGGUAAGAC